UACGAGGGGUGCAAGCGUUGCUCGGAAUUAUUGGGCGUAAAGGGUAGGUAGGUGGUCUCAUUUGUCUGGGGUGAAAGCCUUGAGCUUAACUCAAGAAGUGCCCCAGAAACGGUGAGACUGGAGUCCUGGAGAGGGUCGUGGAAUUCCCAGUGUAGCGGUGAAAUGCGUAGAUAUUGGGAGGAACACCGGUGGCGAAGGCGGCCCCCUGGACCGGUACUGACGCUGAGGCGCGAAAGCGUGGGUAGCAAACGGG
rnacentral:rRNA from 1 species